rnacentral:rRNA from 1 species
UACGGGGGGAGCAAGCGUUGUUCGGAUUUACUGGGCGUAAAGGGCGCGUAGGCGGCCAGCACAAGUCAGUUGUGAAAUCUCCGAGCUUAACUCGGAAAGGUCAACUGAUACUGUGCGGCUAGAGUGCGGAAGGGGCAACUGGAAUUCUUGGUGUAGCGGUGAAAUGCGUAGAUAUCAAGAGGAACACCUGCGGCGAAGGCGGGUUGCUGGGCCGACACUGACGCUGAUGCGCGAAAGCUAGGGGAGCGAAUGGG